AAACUUUUAACAACGGAUCUCUUGGUUCUGGCAUCGAUGAAGAACGCAGCGAAAUGCGAUAAGUAAUGUGAAUUGCAGAAUUCAGUGAAUCAUCGAAUCUUUGAACGCACAUUGCGCCCGCUAGUAUUCUGGCGGGCAUGCCUGUUCGAGCGUCAUUU
rnacentral:rRNA from 4 species